rnacentral:rRNA from 1 species
UACAGAGGUCUCAAGCGUUGUUCGGACUCAUUGGGCGUAAAGGGUGCGUAGGCGGCGCGGUAAGUCGGGUGUGAAAUCUCGGAGCUUAACUCCGAAACUGCAUUCGAUACUGCCGUGCUUGAGGACUGGAGAGGAGACUGGAAUUUACGGUGUAGCGGUGAAAUGCGUAGAUAUCGUAAGGAAGACCAGUGGCGAAGGCGGGUCUCUGGACAGUUCCUGACGCUGAGGCACGAAGGCCAGGGGAGCAAACAGG